GUAGGUGAACCUGCGGAAGGAUCAUUACAAUUCAGUAGCUUGCUACUGUCAGGAGGUGCUGUAAGCCCGCAUAGUUUAAUUACUGAUGAGCGGCAGGCCCUCUGUCUGUACCCUUGUCUUUUGCGCACUCAUGUUUCCUCGGCGGGCUUGCCCGCCGAUUGGGCAAAACUAUAACCUUUUUAAUUUUCAAUCAGCGUCUGAAAAAACUUAAUAAUUACAACCUUCAACAACGGAUCUCUUGGUUCUC
rnacentral:misc_RNA from 1 species